AAGUGUAGAUAUAGCGUAUAACUGUUAACAUUGUCUAAUGGAAUCUAGGAUCCCCGACAUUUACGCAGCUUUUACGCGAUUUACCUGAUCUGGAACAUGAUGGGGGUUUGCAGGAGCAAAAGUCUGGCAGACAAUCACCAACGGCCUUUUUUCGUUCCGACAUACAGCCCUUUAUGAUAAAGGAUGCGUUAUGGACAGCUGACACGCAGGACUUUGAUGCAAUUCUACCGUUCACUGUGGCCCAAGUACACUGCUCAGAAUCAAGCCCACCCGAAAACUACUGUUGGGCCGGGAACUUGCUGCUUCACGAGCCGGCGCUCCAGGGACAAGACUGCCCGGAGACAGACCCAGCAGAAUCUGGAACGCUAGAGGGAAAAAGUCACACACCCCCGGUUUCGGCGAUUCGUCACAACAAGC